GGGGAGCAUCUAAAAGCAGGAUGCUACCUGAUACAAUCUUCCUACAUAGUACAUCUGUAUUUUCCUGCUUGUAGAAUCGAGCACAUUCUACAAGCCUCAAAAUACCAGAGACAUAA